rnacentral:rRNA from 1 species
GUCCACGCCGUAAACGAUGAGUGCUAGACGCUGGGGAGCAUGCUCUUCGGUGUCGCAGCUAACGCAUUAAGCACUCCGCCUGGGGAGUACGGUCGCAAGAUUAAAACUCAAAGGGAAUUGACGGGGGCCCGCACAAGCGGUGGAGCAUGUGGUUUAAUUCGAAGCAACGCGAAGAACCUUACCAACCCUUGACAUGGGACGUAUGGGUCCGAGAGAUCGGGUCCUUCAGUUCGGCUGGCGUCCACACAGGUGCUGCAUGGCUGUCGU